GUAAUAUUUGGGCCGUCGGUCUAUCGAACAAUAUUACCCGCUUAGUGGAAGAUCUUCCCUUUAUCUU
rnacentral:pre_miRNA from 1 species